UGGGGAAUCUUGCGCAAUGGGCGAAAGCCUGACGCAGCAACGCCGCGUGUGUGAUGAAGGUCUUCGGAUCGUAAAGCACUGUCGCGAGGGACGAAUAAGGGGCGGGCUAACAUCCCGUUCCGAUGACGGUACCUCGAGAGGAAGCACCGGCUAACUCUGUGCCAGCAGCCGCGGUAAUACAGAGGGUGCAAGCGUUGUUCGGAAUUAUUGGGCGUAAAGCGCGUGUAGGCGGCCUUGCAAGUUGGGUGUGAAAGCCCUCGGCUUAACCGAGGAAGUGCGCCCAAAACUACGAGGCUUGAGUGCCGGAGAGGGUGGCGGAAUUCCCGGUGUAGAGGUGAAAUUCGUAGAUAUCGGGAGGAACACCAGUGGCGAAGGCGGCCACCUGGACGGUAACUGACGCUGAGACGCGAAAGCGUGGGGAGCAAACAGG
rnacentral:rRNA from 1 species